rnacentral:rRNA from 1 species
GAUGAACGCUGGCGGCGUGCCUAAUACAUGCAAGUCGAACGAAGCCUUCGGGCUUAGUGGCGAACGGGUGAGUAACACGUUGGUACCUACCCUCUAGUGGGGAAUAACUGCCGAAAGGUCGGCUAAUACCGCAUAAUACCGCAAGGUUAAAGCAGCAAUGCGCUAGAGGAGGGGCCUGCGUCCCAUUAGCUUGUUGGUAGUAUAAUGGACUACCAAGGCGACGAUGGGUAGCUGGAUCGAGAGGUUGACCAGCCACACUGGGACUGAGAUACGGCCCAGACUCCUACGGGAGGCAGCAGUAAGGAAUCUUCCACAAUGGACGAAAGUCUGAUGGAGCAACGCCGCGUGCAGGAUGACGGCCUUCGGGUUGUAAACUGCUUUUGUAAGGGAAGAUUAUGACGGUACCAUAUGAAUAAGGACCGGCUAACUACGUGCCAGCCGCCGCCGUAA